UUGGUAAGCAAAACAAAACCAAAUUGCUCAUCUCUCGACUGACGGAAACCAAAAGGGGAUUAGGGUUACAUCAUAACAAUUUAACUUGUUCGAGGAUCCCUAAUAUUUUGAGAAAUUCUGUCUUUUUUUUUUACCAGCUGAUUCUUCACUAUACACCGUGUACUCCACCAUUAUGUCCUUUUCUCCUUCAUGUUGCUUCUUCAUCAACAUUAACCAUCAUCUCCCCCCGUCAAUAACUCCGUCCUUAUCGUCUCACACCAUUUAGAGGUUAUAGAUCGGUGCAUCUGUUCGUGCCGAUACGUCUUCCUUGGACCAUAAAAGGUGGUGGUGAAUUUCCUCUGCUCAGAAAUAAUGAGUAGGCCAGGUUACCAAGAAUUUUAUGUAUCACCCUAGAUGAGUAUUCCCUGUCACUGCAGAUAUGAGGAAGACUCAUCAAGAUACCCUGCCUCUCACACCUGAUGCAUUCUAAAGGGGUAGAAAAGCUCUUAACUGUUCUACAUGACUGUUGCGUUCAUAUCCAAACAUAGUUGCCGAUUAAGAGGUGAAAACGGAGUAGCAAGUGUGUAGAAUAUGAAGACCUCAUGUUCAAAUGUGGACGCAUCCGUUAAAUUGUGUUACAAAGUAACUUUGUUUUAAUUUACAUGUUAAAGAACUCUUUUUAGUUAAUUGGAACAACGAUAAUGGGUGUAGGUUCAAUAAGUGGCAUAAUGCGUAAAUACUCUAGCAAUGAAAGGAGAGUUAUUUAUUUAGGCUGAGGAGCAUUGUGAGACUGCCACUUCAGCAUAAUGGCAUGAAUGUAAAUAAAUUAUAAAUCAAGGUUAUUCUAUUAAAAUGUUUGUCUAUUAAUAA